rnacentral:rRNA from 1 species
CCUACGGGUGGCAGCAGUGAGGAAUAUUGGUCAAUGGCCGGAAGGCUGAACCAGCCAAGCCGCGUGAAGGACGAAGGUGCCAAGCAUUGUAAACUUCUUUUGUCAAGGGACAAAAUCAGGCUCGAGAGCCUGACCGAGGGUACUUGAAGAAAAAGCAUCGGCUAACUCCGUGCCAGCAGCCGCGGUAAUACGGAGGAUGCGAGCGUUAUCCGGAUUUAUUGGGGUUAAGGGGUGCGUGGGCGGGCUGUUCAGUCAGCGGUAAAAGCCCGGGGGUCAACCCCGGCGAGCCGUUGAAACUGGCGGUCUUGAGAUGUCGAGAGGUAUGUGGAAUGCGCAGUGUAGCGGUGAAAUGCUUAGAUAUUGCGCAGAACUCCGAUUGCGAAGGCAGCAUACCGGAGGCGAUCUGACGCUGAGGCACGAAAGCGUGGGUAUCGAACAGGAUUAGAUACCCCAGUAGUC